CUCUCCCAACUGAGAGAAAAUUUUCCAAGAACGAGAGACAUUUUCCCAUUGGGACUCAAUGUCCCAAUUGGGAGACAAAUUCCCAUCCAAGGGGAAGCCCAGGGAAUCUCACCCAUGCUACCACAAAGGCCACCGUAUCGUUGUUGAUGGAGAAAGUCGAUGUCCAUGGUUCAACUGUUAGGUAGUGUUCAUAGAUAAUUCAUGGAUCCACGGUGAGUGUAUGCAUGAAAUCAUUAGGGUCAGUGAAUUUUGCUUAGUCAUUGUUCAUAUCA
rnacentral:lncRNA from 1 species